rnacentral:rRNA from 1 species
GUAGGUGGCAAGCGUUGUCCGGAAUUAUUGGGCGUAAAGCGCGCGCAGGCGGUCCUUUAAGUCUGAUGUGAAAGCCCACGGGCUCAACCGUGGAGGGUCAUUGGAAACUGGGGGACUUGAGUACAGAAGAGGAAAGCGGAAUUCCAAGUGUAGCGGCGAAAUGCGUAGAGAUUUGGAGGAACACCAGUGGCGAAGGCGGCUUUCUGGUCUGUAACUGACGCUGAGGCGCGAAAGCGUGGGGAGCAAACAGGAUUAGAUACCCUGGUAGUCCACGCCGUAAACGAUGAGUGCUAAGUGUUAGGGGGUUUCCGCCCCUUAGUGCUGCAGCUAACGCAUUAAGCACUCCGCCUGGGGAGUACGGCCGCAAAGGCUGA